ACUACAGCGUUUCAAAGCAGCAGACAAAGUAGCUAGGCAAUGUACUUUCAUGCAUGUGCAUUUCUGUAGUCCUACUAUUCGUGAACUGUAGAACUUGCUCGUCAGAUUCAAUGCCCUGCAACACACAAGUUGUAGUUGAGCUUCUGAGACACUUGCUUGAACAUCGAAGAGACCAUUCAAUUCAACAAGAAC